rnacentral:tRNA from 1 species
GGACUCGUAGCAUAAUUGGAUAGUGCACUUGACUACGAAUCAAGAGGUUGGGGGUUCGAAUCCCUUCGGGUUCACAA